rnacentral:rRNA from 1 species
UUCCGGUUGAUCCUGCCGGAGGUCACUGCUAUCGGGGUUCGAUUAAGCCAUGCGAGUCGAGAGGGUUCAGACCCUCGGCGGACUGCUCAGUAACACGUGGAUAAUCUGCCCUAUGGUGGAGGAUAACCCCGGGAAACUGGGGAUAAUACUCCAUAAGUCAGGAGUACUGGAAUGUCUCCUAACUGAAAGUUUCGGCGCCAUAGGAUGAAUCUGCGGCCGAUUAGGUAGUUGUUGGGGUAACGGCCCAACAAGCCCGUAAUCGGUACGGGUUGUGGGAGCAAGAGCCCGGAGAUGGAAUCUGAGACACGAUUCCAGGCCCUACGGGGCGCAGCAGGCGCGAAAACUUUACAAUGCAGGAAACUGUGAUAAGGGAACCCCGAGUGCCCGUACACGCGGGCUGUCCCGGUGUUUAAAACACAUCAGAAGAAAGGGCCGGGCAAGACCGGUGCCAGCCGCCGCGGUAAUACCGGCGGCUCGAGUGGUGACCACUUUUAUUGGGCUUAAAGCGUUCGUAGCUUGAUUUUUAAGUCUCUUGGGAAAUCUCACGGCUUAACUGUGAGGCGUCUAAGAGACACUGGGAAUCUAGGGACCGGGAGAGGUAAGAGGUACUUCAGGGGUAGAAGUGAAAUUCUGUAAUCCUUGAGGGACCACCGAUGGCGAAGGCAUCUUACCAGAACGGCUUCGACAGUGAGGAACGAAAGCUGGGGGAGCGAACGGGAUUAGAUACCCCGGUAGUCCCAGCCGUAAACUAUGCGCGUUAGGUGUGCCUGUAACUACGAGUUACCGGGGUGCCGAAGUGAAAACGUGAAACGUGCCGCCUGGGAAGUACGGUCGCAAGGCUGAAACUUAAAGGAAUUGGCGGGGGAGCACCACAACGGGUGGAGCCUGCGGUUUAAUUGGAUUCAACGCCGGA